UUUGGGACUUAGAGUAAAGAAUCUGCCUAUCACCUGGAUGAUGCCUGUCAGCUGAAACCUUUGCCUUGUACAAGAUCAUUUCAGGAGCUGAGACAUUGAAUACAUCCAGACUUGCUGCCAACGUACAAAGAAAAGAUACACUCAUCAUUGAACAAGAGGGGCUCAGAGCUACUCACAGACCUCAUCAGUACUAAGAAAAUUGGACAUGAGAACGAUAAGCCCUGUGAGCUGAUCUAUUCUUGAUUUUACAGAUCCCUCCAUUUCAUGUGUAUCAUCUGGAAACAGGUGAAAAAGUAGG
rnacentral:lncRNA from 1 species